rnacentral:misc_RNA from 1 species
GCAAAUUGGAAAGCAACAACGAAGUCAGGAUAAAAGAUGACAGAAACAUAUAAAGAACUUGUGUUGGUAAAUUUUUUAUCUGGAUCAGUACUUUGUUCGGUUUGUAUUUUGGUAGUCUUCCGAAGCUCCCAGUCAAAUCAUUUUCUGGAACAUGUCUGAGCUAUCUGAGCUUCCUCAAGAAGAGGAGUACGCGAUUCAGAGGCCAAAGCCUCAUUCCAAG